UACGGAGGGUGCAAGCGUUGUCCGGAUUUACUGGGCGUAAAGGGAGCGUAGGCGGACUUUUAAGUGAGAUGUGAAAUACCCGGGCUCAACUUGGGUGCUGCAUUUCAAACUGGAAGUCUAGAGUGCAGGAGAGGAGAAUGGAAUUCCUAGUGUAGCGGUGAAAUGCGUAGAGAUUAGGAAGAACACCAGUGGCGAAGGCGAAUUCUCUGGACUGUAACUGACGCUGAGGCUCGAAAGCGUGGGGAGCAACAGGG
rnacentral:rRNA from 1 species